CCUACGGGAGACAGCAGUGAGGAAUAUUGGUCAAUGGGCUUACGCCUGAACCAGCCAAGUCGCGUGAGGGAAGACUGCCCUAUGGGUUGUAAACCUCUUUUGUCAGGGAGCAAUUGGCGCUACGUGUAGCGUUAUCGAGAGUACCUGCAGAAAAAGCAUCGGCUAACUCCGUGCCAGCAGCCGCGGUAAUACGGAGGAUGCGAGCGUUAUCCGGAUUUAUUGGGUUUAAAGGGUGCGUAGGCGGAAUGCCAAGUCAGCGGUAAAAUCGCGGGGCUCAACCUCGCUCCGCCGUUGAAACUGGCGGUCUUGAGUGGGCGAGAAGUAUGCGGAAUGCGUGGUGUAGCGGUGAAAUGCAUAGAUAUCACGCAGAACUCCGAUUGCGAAGGCAGCAUACCGGCGCCCAACUGACGCUGAAGCACGAAAGCGUGGGUAUCGAACAGGAUUAGAUACCCUUGUAGUC
rnacentral:rRNA from 1 species